UACGAACCGGUAUCUUUGUGAGCAAUCAGUGAGAAAGCCACGCAAGGACCAGUCGUGACCCUGAGCAGCACCAGAACGGAAGGCCUGCCAAGCCCACGUCACUCCGCAGCCCGUAGAGGGCCACCCACACCGCACUCGUCUGUCCCCAGACCCGAGGCCUGAAGGUUAUGAACAGCAAGUCUUACAGAACAAGAGGUUGAAUCUUUCGCUCUAGAACGACAUGUCAAGCAUCUGGUGUUGCAGAUCUCCUAGGACAGAAAUGAACGUCUGAGAAGUGCCCGGAGGAACCCAGAGCAGCUUCGGGAUCGACGCAUGACUGGAAAGAGAAGUAGGUGAUCAAGCCAGAAACCUGGGCUCAGCUAUCCUGGGCUGCCAAAUUUCCUCUUUACAAGUUUCAUUUGGAAGGAGGGAAAUUUCAUUCCAUUUCCAUUCUGGCAAAGAGCUCCAUUUCAGGCUUCAGACUUAAUUUUCUAGGCUGGGUGCAGCACAAGGCUUAGUAAUCACCCUCUGACCGUGACUCACUCACAGCGGGGUGCAAUACAUCAAUCCGGGGGAACGAGUGUUUGGAACACCACUGGAACCGUCUACGGCGACGGUUCUGUCUCCUUCUGUCUCACCUCAUUUAGAGACGUGUAACAAGCCCUGAGAAAGCCCUGGGGAGCGUUUCUUCUAACCAGAAGCUGGUCCAGCCUCUCUCCUGCCUCCUCCAUGCCUGGAAAGCCUGGGGAGGAGAAGCUCGCCUCGCGGAGCCGUGACAAAGAAAGGACUGUGACCGUCUGCUUCCCCCUGCUGCAGAAAGCUCCAACCCUGGAAGCCGAAGCAGGCCGGAGAGGAAGGACGCGGAGGGGUCUGGGUGGCAUCCAUCCAGGGUGAGGGCCACGGGGGAGCAGAGAACCGGAGACUCUCGCAAAGAUACAGGAACUCCCACUUCUCUCAAACCAAGGCAUGGAAACGAGGGCUUCGGUUUUUACAAGCCUUCCAGGCUGAGCUUUCUGGCUGCCCACAACGAAGAAUAAACAGACAGCUGGUAGUUCCAAUUGUCAGUGAGGUGGCCAUUUGCCACGGGAAACCACCAUGUGACAAUUCACCGAAGGGUGUUUAAAAAAAUCUAAGUAAUUCUCCUUGGCAAAGUCUCCACUUUCAUUUCUACUGCAUAACUUCUACGACAGUACUUCUCAGAAAUGACCAGUUACCCUGGCUUUGCUUCAAGAGCUCCAGAGAUACGCCACAAGGGCGGCCCAUUAAUCCCAUCUUCUGAUGCCUGGGACCAUCGCCUCCUUCUCCUUUCAGCUGGGCUGCCUUUCCUGGAUCCGCACGUCCGUCACUAAGGCCACCGGGGCGGAGCUGCCCCUCCCGGAGGCCCGCAACUGCCACGUGCCCUGCACCAGGCCGUCUGUCCUGCCGGCUACGCAAAUGUUCCCAUCCCUUCCAAGGCUCCUCGGGGACAUAGUCUUGAGUCUCUUCUCUGGUCAUCCUCAGGAGUCACUGGGACUCCUUGGGGAACCUUCCAGAGUAAUAGCCGUAAUGAUCAGAGCACCUGUCUGAGCUCUGCAGGGAUGAGCAGACCAUCCCUGGGCUAUUAAUGUCACUUAUGGGGAGCAGCUGAAGGCAGCCACAACACAGGCCGAUGCAGACGGCGCUGGCCAGGCCCAAAAGCUGCAAAGCUGAUUUUACCCCUGGUGUUACUACAGCCCAUCUUCUCCAUCUUGGGCUUGUGAAAUGGCGGGCUGGACCCCGGCACGCCAGGGCUCCUGCCUCUCCUCAAUUAACCCGGUGUCGAGAGUGGUUAUCUUUGCAGUCGGUCAGACGGUCCGUAGCGUGACCAAGUGGGCAGGAGAAAGAGGCCGCAAAGAGAAGGCGGACAAGCACGGCGAAGAAGCAAAGGCAGGAGUUCAGGGCUGUCGGGACGUCUGCAAGGCCAGCCGGGGAGGGAGGCGGGAGGCCCGAGCAGAGGCACGGGACACGUCCUGCUCCACCAGCACGGAGGGGCUGGCGCUGGCGGAACGGAGAGCGGAGAGUGGCAGCCAGCCUCCGGGGACGGCCCCGCGCGGGGAGGCAGGCCCUGCGAGACGCGACGGAUCUGCAGGGGCCACGCUGCGCAUUCGUUCUUUACACUCUCUUCGCCUGCCUGUCCCUCAGCACAGGUGAGAGGCUGCUUCGCAGGACGUAGAGACUGAGGGAAAAAACGCGUGACUACAAACGACUGGCAAAGGAGCUCCGUGCACGUUAUCUUAUUCAACUCUGAGGGCCGCCCUGUCACACGGAUGGUGUUGUCUGCAUCUCCGCGCUGAGAAAACUGGGACUCAAAACAAUUAAGAAACCUGCCCAAGGUCUCGUCUUUGACUAAGUGGCCUUUAGGCUUGAAUCUAGGUCAGAAAUGUAAGGUCCCUCCUCUCUGCAUCAGCCGACCUAUAACUCCUGGCUCCUUCCGUGGCCCUCCCCUACCCGGGCAGCGAGCAGGCAGCAGGGGCUUGGACUCGAGACCGCGCUGCUGAGUCCAAGGCCUGGCUCCACCGCGGACUAGUGAAGGUGACCUCAUACAGGCCGCCUAAUCUCCCCGUCCUUCCGUCGCCUCAGCUGUGAGGUAAUGACAGUUCCAGCUACGAGGGUUAAAUGCGUUUACAGUGCUGAAGCACUUUUAGAAUAGCCACACGGUAUACAUUAAGCUAGAUUAACUGAACUGGUUAACUAAACUAGAUGUGGACUUGGGCAAGCAGCUUAACCUCCCAGCCUUCAUCGGUCAGAAUACUGGGCUAUCGCCCCAUCGUGAUGAUAACGCGCCCACACACGUUGGUCACCAUUAUCGCCAUGCUACCUGACUUCAAAUCAUCUCUUCUUUCAUCCAGGACGGAACGUUACUGGAUCAUCUAACCACGCACAUAACCCGUGAAAUGAGCAUUUAACAGGUCAACUGAUUUAGAAAGAUAAAUACAAACUGAAAAGGAAAAAGCUUGAAAUACAGUGUGAAAUCGUUAAAAUGAAAAGAAUGAUGUGACACCAAAAGAACUUGCCCCUGUUCUAAGGACGUGUGGGCCAUUAACAGCACAGCAAGCCAGCCCCACGGCAGGUGCCUAGAGUGGGUCAAAUGCAACUCACCUCCCCCGAGUGACUUCAGUACAUGGAGGAAGAAUACUGUGGGGCGGGUGGGUUGGUUAUUUGUUUUGCUGGGGGGGGGGGCUGUCUCUGAUUUUGGGGCCCCUAAGAUGGAGUGUUUUCCUUCUGUUUAUAACUUUCCUGAGGACUCGUUUAUAACCCUUUAGAGAUGAUAUUGCUGUUUAAGUAUAAGCUUGGAAAUACUUUAAUUUAAACCACACCAAUGGCAUAUCUAACCUUUACACGGUCCGGGUCCACAUAAUGCAUUUUUUUCAUGUCACAUUCUUCAGUAGUAUAAUUUAACUUGAGAAUAUAAAGGAUCCACACUCCAAACACAAGCAAUGUACACCUGGAAAAAAAAUCAAUUAGGUAUAAUGAUGCAGUUAUGUGAUAAUCAAGAGAAAUCAUGUGAAAUAAGGGAAAACCUACCCCAGCUUGAGUUUGCCUGCCAGGUAACAUGAAAGUACAGCCUUUAAGGGGACCUUCGUGGCUGACUUAAGGCACCAUUUCUUACUUUCCUGACAAGAAAAAUUAGUCAUUUACGACUAUCUUUGUUAUAAGUGAAUACAGAGAAAACAUUUUUCUGCAAAGGCACCCUAAUAAAAUAUGAAUCACAACGCAGACCACUGGACUUUACAAGACGCCCAACCGACUGAGCCACCCAAGUACCCCCAGAAACCUCAUUUUUAAUAAGUUCUCUAAGUGAUACUGAUAAACUAAAAGUAAAAAAAAAAAAAAAAAGUUUAAACCUAAGUUUAGGAACCAUUGUUUUAAAUAAUUUGUGUUACUGAAAAAAGAGUUAAGGAAUAACCUUAAUGGGAAAAUGAUCCCUUUUGUAAAGGAAGGGACAGUUUAAAAAACACAGCAUCUAGCACAAUAAACUAUACACAAUAGAUGCUAAAUUAUUUCUUAAUAUUUAAGGAUGAUGCAAGAAACUAUUGCUAGGAAGUGUUUUCAAGACUUCUUGAUUCUUGGGAAGCCUGGGUGGCUCAGUCGGUUAAGCAGCUGCCUUCGGCCUGGGUCAUGAUCCCAGUGUCCUGGGAUCGAGUCCCACAUCGGGCUCCUUGCUCAGCAGGGAGCCUGCUUCUCUCUCUCUCUCUCUCCCUCUGCUUGUGCUCUCUCUGUCAAAUAAAUAAAAUCUUAAAAAAAAAAAAAAAAAAAA